CACGUAGGCACCAAGCGUUGUCCGGAUUUAUUGGGCGUAAAGAGCUCGUAGGCGGUUCAGUAAGUCGGGUGUGAAAACUCUGGGCUUAACCCAGAGCCGCCACUCGAUACUGCUGUGACUUGAGUUCGGUAGGGGAGCAGGGAAUUCCUAGUGUAGCGGUGAAAUGCGCAGAUAUUAGGAGGAACACCGGUGGCGAAGGCGCUGCUCUGGGCCGAUACUGACGCUGAGGAGCGAAAGCGUGGGUAGCAAACAGG
rnacentral:rRNA from 1 species